UGGACGCAGCGUGAUCCAGCAAUGCCGCGUGAGUGAUGAAGGCCUUCGGGUUGUAAACCUCUUUUGUCCGGGAAGAUAAUGACGGUACCGCAAGAAUAAGCCCCGGCUAACUUCGUGCCAGCAGCCGCGGUAAACAAAU
rnacentral:rRNA from 1 species